CACCACCAGAACUGAAGUGAUGGGAGCUCUUGAGUCCAGAGGAGCGCUGAGGAAAAUGAGCGACAUGCUAGAGAUGAUGGUGAAGAGGAUGGAUGUGCUGGCCAGGCUGGAGAACAGCACUGACUUCCGGAAAGGGGAAGAGAUGCAUUUUCCAAUAGACAGGUCAGUAGUAUCAGUGGGACUGAAGGACAGAUCCUGGAUUCACUAAUAUAGACUUCUCUUUCCAUAGCAGUCUUGCAUGUGGAAUGAUUGUUUCAGCUGCUGCUUGGUCCCAAUUCUCUACAGGUUUAUCCUCA